UUUCUCCAACACCUUUUACAUUUCAAGAAUAUGCAAAGGGAAUCAUCUCCCUAUUCCCAUACUUGGCAGAAUGGGUCACCCAGGAGCAAGCUUGGUUAUGAGCAUUAUUACAAUCCAGAAGAUGGAAGUGGAUAUCUGGCAUGGAGAAUAAAAACCCUGCAGAAAGAAGCAUCAGAGGGACGGAUGAAACGGCAACCACAAACAGGUGGGCCAACUACUGACAGGGAUCCCUUCAAAGCCGCGAGGCCUCAAACAGACUAGUGAGCUCCAAGACGUUAUCCAAAAUGCUGAAGGUGGUGACCAUAGACCUCCAUUAUAUGACUGACAGACAAGAA